rnacentral:rRNA from 1 species
GGGCCCGCACAAGCGGUGGAGUAUGUGGUUUAAUUCGAUGCAACGCGAAGAACCUUACCAGGGUUUGACAUCCUGCGAAUCUCUUGGAAACAGGAGAGUGCCUUUGGGAACGCAGUGACAGGUGGUGCAUGGCUGUCGUCAGCUCGUGUCGUGAGAUGUUGGGUUAAGUCCCGCAACGAGCGCAACCCACGUCUUUAGUUGCCAGCAUUUAGUUGGGCACUCUAGAGAGACUGCCGGUGAUAAACCGGAGGAAGGUGUGGAUGACGUCAAGUCAUCAUGCCCCUUACAUCCCUGGGCUACACAUGUACUACAAUGCUACGGACAAAGGGCAGCAAGUCGCGAGGACAAGCAAAUCCCAUAAACCGUGGCUCAGUUCAGAUCGUAGGCUGCAACUCGCCUACGUGAAGGCGGAAUCGCUAGUAAUCG